rnacentral:rRNA from 4 species
GAGUGAUCGAAAGAUGAAAAGCACUUUGAAAAGAGAGUUAAAAAGCACGUGAAAUUGUUGAAAGGGAAGCGCUUGCGACCAGACUCGCCUCCAGGGUUCAGCCGGCAUUCGUGCCGGUGUACUUCCCUGGGGGCGGGCCAGCGUCGGUUUGGGCGGCCGGUCAAAGGCUCCCGGAAUGUAGUGCCCUCCGGGGCACCUUAUAGCCGGGAGUGCAAUGCGGCCAGCCUGGACCGAGGAACGCGCUUCGGCACGGACGCUGGCAUAAUGGUCGUAAACGACCC